GGAGGGGGAGCGGUGCGGAGCCCAUCUGGUGCGGAAAGCGGCCCCUCGGGCUGCGGGCAGGUAGCGGGGCGCUGCCACUCGCACGUGUCGGCGGCAGAACGGCAUUUCUUCAGCGAGGUUUGCGGUACGGUUUCAAAGGAGCCAAAGGAAAGUCUGAGAAAUGCUGUCACAGUCCCAAGAGGUCUCCUGAGAUUGGUGACAUCAGAAAUGCUGCACUGAGAUUGAUUUUACCUAGAACAGGCAUCAAAGCCUCAGAAAUGCCCUGCUAAUGGAUGUUAUAGGAAUACAUGUUCAGAAGGCUUUCAAAUGCUUUACACAGACUGAGAGAGUGCUCAGGCCGUGCUGAUUUCCUCUCUUCCCCAAUCAAGGAUAUCUAAGAUGUCUAACCAAGCGGGUUGCCCAAGUAGUGAGAAAGUGAAACAGUGACCUGGCGUAGGCUCUAAUUAUCUGCUUAACCACAUUAAUGCUGAGAGGCAAAUCACUUUCCAUAGGAGGUCACUGAGCCUACGG
rnacentral:lncRNA from 1 species